UAAUGUGACAUUUGAAUGGGUACAUCCAAAAACCUUUCAAUUUCAACACAACAAGCAAAUAAAGAUGGCCAAAUUGGCGACCGACAAAGGUCAAGAUAUUUUCCAUCUUCUACGAUCAAAUAUUACAUUAUGUUAUUCGGGUCGGAUACACCUACAGAUCAAUACAAAUACAGGAAAUUGAAUUCAGUACAUUACAACAGUUAAAUGGCAGUUGACCCAGAAUUUGGAACCUAAUCUAUAUGCAUAAACAUUUAAAGUGUUACAACUUCUAAUUAGGUAAAACUUAAUCCGAAGUCAUCAAAAUUAACAAUCAAUUGUAAAUUUUACAUAAAAAAUUAAUAAUUGCCUACAUUUUUUACUGGCAAUAAUUCUCUUAGAAGAAAGAAAAACCCAUAAAUCUACAAAAAAAAAAA
rnacentral:misc_RNA from 1 species